GGGAUACCAUUAGGGUUUCAACUUCAUUCAUUUCAAAACAUUUCAAAAUCGCCCUUCCCUGUACACCUUUCUCUCUCUCUCUCUGGCGAUUCAGAACGAUUUCACUAGAUCUGCUCCUCUCUUUGGCGAUUCAGGAACGAUUUCACCAGAUCUAUGAAGUUUCAACAAAUCGAUGAAGAUUCUGACCUCCUGGUUCCGUUUUCCGGCUUUUAUUGGCGUUCCCUGCACCUCUCUCUCUCUCUCUGGCGAUUCAGAACGAUUUCACUAGAUCUGCUCCUCUCUCUGGCGAUUCAGGAACGAUCUCACCAGAUCUAUGAAGUUUCAACAAAUCGAUGAAGAUUCUGACCUCCUGGUUCCGUUUUCCGGCUUUUAUUGGCGUUUUUCAACAUUCAUCAAGGGUCAUGGUUUAAAGACUAGAUCUGGUGAAGAAUAAUAAGAAUAUUUGGAAGGAGACAACAAAAUCAUGGAGAAGAAUCAGAUCUCGGUGGUUGGAGUUCCAGAUGCGAUUCCCGUCAAGUAUGUGGAGGUGACCGAGGUUUUAAUUUCAGUAUAGUGGAUAAAUUCCCGUCUUUGUGUGUUCAUGUGAAGUUUCGUACUUAUCAAUUGAAUUUACAAUCUGUCAAUCUAUAUAUGCGCAUACUAAAACUGAAGGCUGCAGCAACAUGGAAAGUUGAUGGAGCAGGAUCAUCAAACAUUACCGAAGGUCAUUUAAGUACCAGCUGCAGGGAACAAUAUAGUAGAAGUUACUAUGCUCCGGAGUUGCCUCAUUUAUCUCAUCUUGGUUUCAGGGGCCCGAUAACACAUCCAUAUUUCAAAUUUUGUAUUACAGAGAUGGACAAAUUUCUUGAAAAGUUUGCCACUAUUAGAAUUCCAGUGUCGAUGGUGGCUCUGUGAUGGUGAAUCCUGGCGGCAUCAUCUGCAAAUAUGUGUGGUCGACAGUGGCGAUCAAUGGGACCAUAAGAGGGCUGAAGCCGGUCUAACAACAACAGCAAUUGGCGGCUACACGGGUGUCAAGAGGCAGCUGAUCUGGUGGUAAUAGGCGGUUGAUCUGGCGGUUAUGUGAGAGAGUGUAAAAGGCUGCAUUUAGUGACCAAACGACAGCGAAGAACAUCGGUAUUGAGCUACUAAAAUAGUGCAGCGAACAGGACAGCAACGUCGUGAAUUCAGGUGCGCUUUUGGGAUCAAAACAUUUAGUGUUUGGGUUCAUUACCGGUUUUCGGGUUCGGGUUGUGUUGUGUUGGGGUUUGUGUCAGAUUUUCAGGUUCGCGCCAUGUUGGGCCAGUAUGGUACAUUUGUUUUAAAAGCUGGUUGAAUAGAAGUCUCAUAUGGGUUUGGCUUAAUAAGGUAACUGUUGAUACAGGGAAUGUAAAGUUUUUAACCCAUUUUUUAUUUUUUAGUUUUGUUAGUACUUGCUUAAUAAGGUAACUGAAAUUAUUUUUUUUGAAUUUCAUAUGCAUGCAUGGUUGUUGUCUACUAAAGAAGUUUGACUACGGACAAGGAGUAUGUUAAUUCCACUGGAAAACCCAUAAAGUUCGGAUCGCAGAGAUAUAACAAAAAAAAGGUUGAGACGAAUCGCAAACUAUGGUUUUUUGAAACAACCAACCAAACUGGUCGGGUUGGGUGGGCCAACCGUGCAAACGCGGCAGAUGAGACCGAAAGAGAUGAGAUUUGUUGCUGAUGAUUGCAUAACAAGCAAGCCGUUCAGGAUUAUGGUAUGCUAGGAGAAGCUUAUAAAACCCAAGAAGCUAUUUAGUCAACAUUUUCAUUUAAAUGAUUGUGGCUGCAGAGACCAUCUUCGGACAGCGGUGAGCAGUGGCGGUGGAUGGUGAUGUUACUCGGAGGUUGCUGGGUUGAUUAUGGGGAACGUUGCAAGUUCCGGUGACCUUUGAUUCAUAUAUCUGGUUGUUAGUGAAGUUAUGGACAUAUCUGAUGAUGGAUAGUGUAAACUAGGUGUUUUUUGAUUCCAAAAAGUUGACCAACGAUCAUUCGUGAAGAGUGUCGCAAGUUCAGUCAGCAGCAUUACUAUAUCAAGCGAAGGUGUAACCGUUGGAUAUCAUACAGAUCCGGUGGCGGCUAUGGUAGAUGUGGUAUGAUUGUGGAGCUAUUCUAAGCAUAUGAAAACAAGAGUGUUUGAUCUGAAAGUUGUAUGAAUUGGUUAUUUGGGGUUAGUUUUAAGUUUCUUUUUUAGUUUUUAAUGUUGUAGUAUCUAACUAUUAAGGUUGUUUUUGUAUGUAAUAUGUGCAUGGCAUAUUGGUUUGUUGGGAGAUUUAAGGUUAAUGUAACUCUUCUCUUUAUGUUUUUCUUUCUAUGAAAGUAUAUGAAAGUAUGGAAACA